GAUGAAGAACGUAGCGAAAUGCGAUAAGUAAUGCGAAUUGCAGAAUUUCCGUGAGUCAUCGAAUCUUUGAACGCACAUUGCGCCCACUGGUAUUCCGGUGGGCAUGCCUGUUCGAGCGUCAUUAUCCUCCCUCAAACCCCGGGUUUGGUGUUGGACCCAAGUUGUGUGAACAACUGGUCUCAAAGACAAUGACGGCGUCCGUGGGACCCUCGGUGCAACGAGCUUUUAGGAGCACGCAUCGAGUUGCAAGGACCUUCCGGGCCGGUCUCCUUUACCAUUUUACAAGGUUGACCUCGGAUCAGGUAAGAAUACCCGCUGAACUUAAGCAUAUCAAUAAGCGGAGGA
rnacentral:misc_RNA from 1 species